rnacentral:rRNA from 1 species
CAUGCCGUAAACGAUGAGUGCUAAGUGUUAGGGGGUUUCCGCCCCUUAGUGCUGCAGUAAACACAAUAAGUACUCCGCCUGGGAAGUACGAUCGCAAGAUUAAAACUCAAAGGAAUUGACGGGGACCCGCACAAGCAGCGGAGCAUGUGGUUUAAUUCGAAGCAACGCGAAGAACCUUACCUGGACUUGACAUCCCCUGAAUGACUCGUAAUGGAGGAAGCCCUACGGGGCAGGGAGACAGGUGG